rnacentral:rRNA from 1 species
AUAAACGCUAGCGGCAGGCCUAACACAUGCAAGUCGAGGGGCAGCGGAAGAAGUAGCUUGCUACUUCUGCCGGCGACCGGCGCACGGGUGCGUAACGCGUAUGCAACCUACCUUUAACAGGGGGAUAAUCCGAAGAAAUUUGGUCUAAUACCCCAUAAUAUUUCAGAAGGCAUCUUUUGAGGUUGAAAACUCCGGUGGUUAAAGAUGGGCAUGCGUUGUAUUAGCUAGAUGGUGAGGUAACGGCUCACCAUUGCGAUGAUACAUAGGGGGACUGAGAGGUUUUCCCCCCACACUGGUACUGAGACACGGACCAGACUCCUACGGGAGGCAGCAGUGAGGAAUAUUGGUCAAUGGACGCAAGUCUGAACCAGCCAUGCCGCGUGCAGGAUGAAGGUGCUAUGCAUUGUAAACUGCUUUUGUACGAGGGUAAAUUCAGAUACGUGUAUCUGUUUGAAAGUAUCGUACGAAUAAGGAUCGGCUAACUCCGUGCCAGCAGCCGCGGUAAUACGGAGGAUCCGAGCGUUAUCCGGAUUUAUUGGGUUUAAAGGGUGCGUAGGCGGUUUGAUAAGUUAGAGGUGAAAGCUCGAUGCUCAACAUCGAAAUUGCCUCUGAUACUGUCAGACUAGAGUGUAGUUGCGGAAGGCGGAAUGUGUGGUGUAGCGGUGAAAUGCUUAGAUAUCACACAGAACACCGAUUGCGAAGGCAGCUUUCCAAGCUAUUACUGACGCUGAGGCACGAAAGCGUGGGUAGCGAACAGGAUUAGAUACCCUGGUAGUCCACGCCGUAAACGAUGGAUACUAGGUGUAGGGUGUGAUAAACAUUCUGUGCCGUCGCAAACGCAAUAAGUAUCCCACCUGGGGAGUACGGCCGCAAGGUUGAAACUCAAAGGAAUUGACGGGGGCCCGCACAAGCAGUGGAGUAUGUGGUUUAAUUCGAAGCAACGCGAAGAACCUUACCAAGGCUUGACAUAUACAGGAAUAUUUAAGAGAUUAAAUAGCUCUUCGGAGUCUGUAUACAGGUGGUGCAUGGUUGUCGUCAGCUCGUGCCGUGAGGUGUCGGGUUAAGUCCCAUAACGAGCGCAACCCCUACUGUUAGUUGCCAGCAUGUCAAGAUGGGCACUCUAGCAGGACUGCCGGUGUAAGCCGAGAGGAAGGUGGGGAUGACGUCAAAUCAGCACGGCCCUUACGUCCGGGGCGACACACGUGUUACAAUGGUCGGUACAGAGGGUAGCUACCUGGUGACAGGAUGCCAAUCUCGAAAGCCGAUCUCAGUUCGGAUUGGAGGCUGAAACUCGCCUCCAUGAAGUUGGAUUCGCUAGUAAUCGCGCAUCAGCCAUGGCGCGGUGAAUACGUUCCCGGGCCUUGUACACACCGCCCGUCAAGCCAUGGGAGUUGGGGGUGCCUGAAGUACGUGACCGCAAGGAGCGUCCUAGGGCAAAACCGAUGACUGGGGCU